UGACAUGGCUAAGGUGAAAGCCAAAGCCAUGUCCAAUCAGCAGUAAGCAGGUGAGAAGCAUUAACACGCCAGUUAAAUGCCUGUUUUCCUCAGCAGGUGACAUGACUGCAGAAAAGCUUACAGGAGACAGGAGUCUACACAGUGUUCAGCAAAGCAGACAGGCUUCACCUGAAUCAUGGGGCAAUACUGCACAGUGAGAGGAUUAAUAAAGUGAUCAGUGGCAGCUACUUCCAUCUGUGAGGCAGAACCAGGGGACACCGGGGCAGAAAUCUGAUAAAGGAAAGAAAGCAGCUUGUGGAAGCAAAGAAACCCCAGGUGUUCUGAUCCACACAGAACACAAUACAUUCUCUGUACAAUCAGUUUAUACAGCUGAAUAUUUACUGAAGACACUCAGAGGAAUCAGAGCAGAACCCUUGUUUCCAGGCAAGUUUGCAAUCCACCCUGCCGCCAUCAUCACCAUGGCAUAUUUAAUCAGAACUGGAGCAAAGUGUAUUCACUAUAGUUUACAUUAUAUGUCUAUGAGAAACAGCACAUUAAUUUCACUGGACUGCUGAUGCAUUCCAAAAAACACAU